rnacentral:rRNA from 1 species
CCUACGGGAGGCAGCAGUGGGGAAUAUUGCACAAUGGGGGAAACCCUGAUGCAGCGACGCCGCGUGAGUGAAGACGUACUUCGUUAUGUAAAGCUCUAUCAGCAGGGGAGAAAAUGACGGUACCUGUGUAAGAUUCCCCGGCUAACUACGUGCCAGCAGCCGCGGUAAUACGUAGGGGGCAAGCGUUAUCCGGAUUUACUGGGUGUAAAGGGAGCGUAGUCGGCAGUGCAAGUCUGGAGUGAAAGGCGGGGGCUCAACCCCCGGACUGCUCUGGAAACUGUACGGCUGGAGUGCAGGAGAGGUAAGUGGAAUUCGUAGUGUAGCGGUGAAAUGCGUAGAUAUUAGGAGGAACACCAGUGGCGAAGGCGGCUUACUGGAGUGUAACUGACGUUGAGGCUCGAAAGCGUGGGGAGCAAACAGGAUUAGAUACCCUUGUAGUC